AUCCGUUGUAGUCUAGUUGGUCAGGAUAUUCGGCUCUCACCCGAAAGACCCGGGUUCAAGUCCCGGCAACGGAAUUAC
rnacentral:tRNA from 1 species